AGCUGGAUCAUUUUUCCGAAAAUGGUUUCAAUACCAACAACAACAACAAACCCUUCGUUCCUCUCUCGGAACACACAAAACAAAAUCCCAGCGCAGCCAAGAAGGACGGGUCUCUCGUUCUCUCUUUCCUGCCCUACCUCAAGGCAAAGGGGAAAAUAGUUGGAGACAACAAUUGAAACCUUUACCUUGCAAAUACAAUUUACGCACGCCAACGAAAAAAAAAAAAGGAAGUAAAACACCUUUCUUUCUUUCCUGGUGUGGGGUAGAACCUAAAACGUGUCGCGAUGGAUGACUUGGCUUCCCAUAUCUGUGAAGAACGCAGCAAAGUGCGAUAAGUGGUAUGAAUUGCAGAAUCUCUCCAUUACUUAAUCUUUGAACGCAAAAGGCGCUCGGGAGAAACCCCUUGUGGGUCAUCCCCGUGCAUGCCGUAUUGCUCAGUGUCGAAAAACAACAAUAUAUAUCUUCUUCUGUCAUAGGAAGAAGAGCGGUUUCUCGAAGUUGCGAGGAAGACGCGCUCGCGCAUUUUUCCUUUCGCAAUUCGGGGAUUGGGUGUUCCUUUUGUUGGAAACGACAAAAUUAAAAGCAUCCAAUCAUACUUUUCUGGCGGCUGCUCUCUCUUCUUCACGAUUUGAAAGCGUCACAGAAAAUCAAAACCGAUACAACCAAUGUCUUGUCUCUUCUUUACUUCGCGGUGAGGAUGUGGUCAACACACUAAAAAUACAACAAAUAUAUUUUACGGACCUGAGUGCGGCAGGACGACCCGCUAAACUUAAGCAUAUUGCUCAGCGGAGGAAAAGAAAACAACCGUGAUUCCCUUAGUGAGCGGCGAGCGAACAGGGAUCCAACUCGAUGCCGAAUCGGGCUUUACAGAGCCUUGAGUUGUGGCACAACUGCCCCGUGACUGGUCAAGGGAGUGGCAAAAUUCAAUGUGCAAAGCAAACCCAUUGUUGAAUGCAACCCUUCAUGUGAGUAUUGAGCCAUAGGAGGUGAAAGCCCAUUCCAGCCACUAGACCCUAAGCCUCAUUGGGUGGUUAUAAGCGAGUAGCACUGCUUGGGAAUGCAGUGUCAAGCGGCAGGUAUGUGUCUGCCAAAGUUAAAUACAAAAUGGGAAGACCGAUAGCAAACAAGUAGCGUGAGCGAAAGUUUGAAAAGCACUUUGGAAAGAGAGUGACAUAGAACCUGAAGUCGUGACAAUGACAAUGAAAGUGCCUCCAUUUUUGUCAAGGCCAGCCCUGCAGCAUUAUCCGUCGUUCCUCCUUCGGGCGCCAACGGCGGUCAAACAAGUGUUGAAAGGGGACUGGAGCAACGAGCCGAGGUAAAGGUGGGAGUUCUGCCUAGCAGUGAACCCUAUCUUCUCGGUAGACUCUGAGACUUGACGCUCUGGAAAUGGGGUACCUUCACCCGUCUUGAAACACGGACCAAGGAGUCAAACAGACACGCAAGAGGGAAGAUAUUGUUGCCAGUACUUCUCUCGAACUGAAAGGGAUGCUUUUUGCAUUGGUGUGCACACAAGAACUGCCCAACACCGGCCGCCCUUCUUUUAGGGUGAGUCUGAGUGUGCCUGUUUGGACCCGAAAGGUGGUGAACUAUGCCUGAACAAGGUGAAGUCCGGGGAAACUCGGAUGGAGGCCUGUAGCGGUGCUGACGUGCAAAUCGCUCGCACGAUUUGGGUAUCGGAGCGAAAGACUCAUCGAACCACCUAGUAGCUGGUUCACAU
rnacentral:misc_RNA from 1 species